UCAUUCUUUUUUUCAGUAUUAACUCUCUUUCUAUAUGUUUAGUAUCAGAAAACAACAAAAGUAGUAAUUUUAUAGUGUUUUUUUGAUAAUCAUUUGUGUACAAAUGAUAACAUGUUUCAAACUUUAUAAUCCUGCUUUUGUGUUUAUAUGUAUAUAUAUAUUUAUAUAUUGUAUGUGUGAUCAGAACUGCAGCAUUUCCAAUUUAGUGUUCACAGCCUUUCAUUCACCGAACUUUUCUUUUUUGCCAUAAAUCAGAAAGCUUUCAAGUCUCAACAAACAAAGUUCUGUUCUUUAGUAUUGAGUAGUUGUACUAGACACAACCCAUUAGAGAUCUCUCACAGUAUCUCAAAAUUCAGACCCCUUUUCAUUCUCUUGAUCAGUAAAUAAUGAUGAUCACAAUAUAUAUAUAUAUAUUUUCAUCCCAACUUUGAAUCUGGAUCGUUUGAUGAUGAUGAGAGAAGCCACAUUGAUGAUGAUCUCUCAUCUUGGUUUAAGAGCUACCCAACUUUCUAUUCAGUACCUCUUUUCUUUAAUGUCUUUCUUUCUUUCUUUGCCUGAAAAAUACGUUGCUCUUUCUCUGGUGACCGAACUCUUUUUCUCAGACUAUUCUGUCUCUUGCUGUUCUCUCUACUACUACCAUGAUAGUCUCGAAACUGGAUUUUGAGAGCUUCAAAUUGCCUACACCUUUGGUGACUUUGCCUAAAUAUGCAUCCCACUUCCAUCACCGUACACGUGUCCCAUCGAUGUAAGAUAACCUCACACUUGGAAGUAUUUGUCUUUUGACAUUUAUACCCCUCCAUUGAAAGACCUUAUGGUUGAAAUUUUCGACAUCAAAGAGACCCCAUCAAGGGAAAAUUCACACCCAAUUUAGCUCAAGAAACUUUCUGCUAUCAUGAUACGUUAAACCCGGGGAACUUUUACCCUUCUAUGAUUUAAUGACCAAAAUGCCCUUGUGUGUCUAAAGUGUAGUGGACCCCCGCAAGGUGUGGUGUGGAGACUUCCUUUUAGCUCAGCAGUGGAAUUUUAUGGCCAAAGGGCAAAAUGGGUCAAACCCAAAAAUUUUUUUUCCUUGAACCAAGAGGCUAUUUUGGAUUAAUUUAGCUUUUGGGUUAAUAGCUCUUCAAACCAGGAGAAACACCACCCUAGAAUCCAUAAACGAAUGUUUAGGCCAUGAACCACUGUUGUGUAUAGGGUUUUGGUGGCCGUCUCGAUAACAAAGUUUUUGGCCUCGGCUUUGGUGCUUGUUUGGUCAGACAGGGUCAGACUCGAACAAAAAAAAUUGAAGACAAUAUCUAACUCUAAAAUAAUGAAGAAAUAAUGAUAAAGUGUAUUAGACCGAAAAGGGUAUGUCAUUCUUUGGUUUUAACAAACUUUUAAGAGAGAGUGUAAUUGGUAUUUUGGAGUUGAAUAAAGGGUAUGCAUGGAAAAGAAGAUGUAAAGAAAAGAAAAGAAAAGACAGAGAUUGCUUGCGCAAAUCUAGCUAAUCUGAGCUUCUGGGGUAAGCAUGUAAAAAGUGAGUUAAGAAGGGCAAUUCAAGAAAAAAGUGUGUUAAUAAGGGGCCUAAAACACCAAAACAAAAUUAAAAAAUAAAAUAAAAUGAUUUAAGUUUCAAGUUUGUACGAACACAAAUAAAUUCCAUUUCUCUCUUUCUUUCUCACAUUUAUUUGGCCUCAUUAUGCUGAGAUUGACAGGCCAAGCAGUACUAAGAGAGAGAGAUAUAGAUAUAUAGAUAGAUAGAGAUAAACAGUCUCACACACUAUACGGCAAAGGUAACUCAAACCACUUUUAAUUUAAGCCUCUUAUGCAUAGUUUCUUCUUUUUCUACCAUAUACGAACGACAAGGAAAAUCAUGUUAAAGAGGGCUUCUCGAAUAAAAGAAGGAAGAAAGUGAGAGCAAGAAACGUGGAUGGUGGUGGUGGUGGUGGGAAACAUGGCUGGGGCUUUGGCUGCAUUCCCUAUUUGGAUUAUCAUUGAAGAAAGCUCUCUAUCUUCCAUGACAAUGUCCUACAAGAAAAAACUUCUUAUGGGGUCUACUUCUCUAAAUGAGGAAUAUUGGUCUAAAUGUAGAAGCAAGUCCUCCAUUUUCAAGCUCCAAUUCUUCAAUCAAGUUCUCUUACCCUGUCUCUUCUUCUCUGGCCAUUGAUGAUGGUGAUUCUAGGGGUGAUAUUGGCGGGAAGGCUCAAUCUUCUUCUUUCUCUUUUUUCUUUUCUUUUGGUAUUUUUAUGAUAAUGUUUAUCUUCUUUUUGUUAUAUUUAUUCAAAGAAAUUAACUGAUGAUGAUGAUCAUCAUCAUCUCUUACCAUUUUUUUUUUUUAUUUUCUUUUAUGGGUUCUGUUAUUUUUUUGUUUUGUUAUAGAAUGGCUAUGAAGAAUUCUCUUUAACCUAAAAGGACUGGCCAUUCUUAAUUUCUAUCUAAUGAUACAUUAUUAUCAUUC